rnacentral:ribozyme from 1 species
AAAGAGAGCAAAAAAAAAUUACGAGGGUAAAUAUAUACCAGACGAGCGAUGUUGUGCGUAUGGAUGUGUCCGGUUUUUUUACAUUUUUUUGUUUUCUUUUUUCC